UGAAGUCGAUUUCACGCUCCGCCAGCCA
rnacentral:sRNA from 1 species